rnacentral:rRNA from 1 species
UAGCAUAUCAAUAAGCGGAGGAAAAGAAACCAACAGGGAUUGCCCUAGUAACGGCGAGUGAAGCGGCAACAGCUCAAAUUUGAAAUCUGGCUCUUUCAGGGUCCGAGUUGUAAUUUGCAGAGGGCGCUUUGGCUUUGGCAGCGGUCCAAGUUCCUUGGAACAGGACGUCACAGAGGGUGAGAAUCCCGUACGUGGUCGCUAGCUAUUGCCGUGUAAAGCCCCUUCGACGAGUCGAGUUGUUUGGGAAUGCAGCUCUAAAUGGGAGGUAAAUUUCUUCUAAAGCUAAAUACUGGCCAGAGACCGAUAGCGCACAAGUAGAGUGAUCGAAAGAUGAAAAGCACUUUGGAAAGAGAGUCAAACAGCACGUGAAAUUGUUGAAAGGGAAGCGCUUGCAGCCAGACUUGCUUGCAGUUGCUCAUCCGGGCUUUUGCCCGGUGCACUCUUCUGCAGGCAGGCCAGCAUCAGUUUGGGCGGUGGGAUAAAGGUCUCUGUCACGUACCUCUCUUCGGGGAGGCCUUAUAGGGGAGACGACAUACCACCAGCCUGGACUGAGGUCCGCGCAUUCGCUAGGAUGCUGGCGUAAUGGCUGUAAGCGGCCCGUCUUGAAACACGGACCAAGGAGUCUAACAUCUAUGCGAGUGUUUGGGUGUCAAGCCCGAACGCGUAAUGAAAGUGAACGGAGGUGGGAACCCGCAAGGGUGCACCAUCGACCGAUCCUGAUGUCUUCGGAAGGAUUUGAGUAAGAGCAUGGCUGUUGGGACCCGAAAGAUGGUGAACUAUGCUUGAAUAGGGUGAAGCCAGAGGAAACUCUGGUGGAGGCUCGCAGCGGUUCUGACGUGCAAAUCGAUCGUCAAAUUUGGGCAUAGGGGCGAAAGACUAAUCGAACUAUCUAGUAGCUGGUUCCUGCCGAG